rnacentral:RNase_P_RNA from 1 species
GUAAGUCAGAUAGUCGCGUCUACAAAGUCGAAAGGCUGUAGAUGAGGAACGUCCGGGCUCCAUAGAGCAAGGUGCUGGGUAACACCCAGUGGAGGCGACUCUAAGGAAAGUGCAACAGAAAUAAACCACCUACUGUAAAGUAGGAAAGGAUGGAAAGGCGAGGUAAGAGCUCACCGCAUCUUAGGUGACUAAGAUGGCUAUGUAAACCCCACCUGGAGCAAGACCGGAUAAAGACAUAUGUGGCUGCUCGUCACGUCUUAGGUAGGUCGCUAGAGCAUGCAGGCAACUGUAUGUCGAGAUAGAUGACUGUCUAACACAGAACCCGGCGUAUAGACUUGGUU